UACGUAGGGUGCAAGCGUUGUCCGGAAUUAUUGGGCGUAAAGAGCUCGUAGGCGGUUCGUCGCGUCGGCUGUGAAAACCUGAGGCUCAACCUCAGGCCUGCAGUCGAUACGGGCGGACUUGAGUACUGCAGGGGAGACUGGAAUUCCUGGUGUAGCGGUGAAAUGCGCAGAUAUCAGGAGGAACACCAAUGGCGAAGGCAGAUCUCUGGGCCGUAACUGACGCUGAGGAGCGAAAGCAUGGGGAGCGAACAGG
rnacentral:rRNA from 1 species